UGCAGUCGAGCGGGGGGAGGAGCUUCGGCUCCGAACCUAGCGGCGAACGGUCGAGUAACACGUAAGCAACCUGCCCCGAAGACCGGGAUAACAGCUCGAAAGGGCUGCUAAUACCGGAUGUGCCCACGCAGAGGCAUCUCUGUGUGAGUAAAACCCGCAAGGGGCUUCGGGAGGGGCUUGCGGCCCAUCAGCUAGUUGGUAGGGUAACGGCCUACCAAGGCGGCGACGGGUAGCUGGUCUGAGAGGACGGCCAGCCGGACUGGGACUGAGACACGGCCCAGACUCCUGCGGGAGGCAGCAGUCGGGAGUCUUGCACAAUGGGGGAAACCCUGAUGCAGCGACGCCGCGUGCGGGAUGAAGUCCUUCGGGACGUAAACCGCUUUUGUCCGGGAAGAAGUUCUGACGGUACCGGACGAAUAAGCCCCGGCUAACUACGUGCCAGCAGCCGCGGUAAAACGUAGGGGGCGAGCGUUGCCCGGAUUUACUGGGCGUAAAGCGCGCGUAGGCGGCUGCGUAAGUGGGGAGUUAAAGCCCUCGGCUCAACCGAGGAAAUGCUCCUCAAACUGCGCGGCUUGAGUGUAGGAGAGGGGAGUGGAAUUCCCGGUGUAGCGGUGAAAUGCGUUGAUAUCGGGAGGAACACCGGUGGCGAAGGCGGCUCCCUGGCCUACUACUGACGCUGAGGCGCGAAAGCGUGGGGAGCGAACGGGAUUAGAUACCCCGGUAGUCCACGCCGUAAACGAUGAGCGCUAGGUGUUGGUGGUCUCGACCCCACCAGUGCCGUAGCUAACGCAUUAAGCGCUCCGCCUGGGGAGUACGGCCGCAAGGUUGAAACUCAAAGGAAUUGACGGGGGCCCGCACAAGC
rnacentral:rRNA from 1 species